rnacentral:lncRNA from 1 species
AAAAUGAGGCUUCCAGAGGCUGUGGGAGGGAUUCUUAGCACAGUGGCAUCUCCUAGUUUGGGAGGGAGUUCAUGUUUGGUGUACAGUAGAAACUCAUGAUAGGGUUGCAGCCACAAAGGGAACCCAAGCACUGUUAGAAUUUGGCACUUCUCAGUGGCAGCAUUGAUGGUAAGAAGGCUUAGUGCCCAUGAAGCCUUUCUAAACAUCGACAGUACUUUCACGUGCUCUCUAGAGUGUGGUGCUCACUCAAGGAACUGCUCUAGGAGACACGGGUCCCAAGCUCCUUACAAUGGAUUUUCCCGUUUGGAGGAGAAGGGCUGGCUGUCUCUGCAAACAUAGAUGCUUCUGUCUCGGGAGAGCACCAACUCUGUCCUCUUUAUCUGCAGACUGCAGCUGACCCCUGCCAAAAACCCAAAGAGUGGCAGUGCAUGCUGUUACCAGUCAUCUUGUGCAGAGAGGGAGAAGCGGGUCUCAGACUUCUACAAAAGGAUUUUCCCAUAAAGCUUGGUUUGGUUCUCCUGACUCUGGACUCUCAUCAUGCUGUCACGCGCUCACUGAUUGGGCCCGGCGUUGUCACGAGAAGUCAGACGGCACAACAGUCCACGCAAGCUUGUCUGCUCCUCAUCACAGUGUUUGAAAGCAGACUGCGGAUGUUUGAUUGGGAGCGCGUCUGUGUCCGGAUAUGUACGUACUUUCACGGACAAACCUUGAAGCCUUUGCUGACAAACACAUCCUUUGGGGGAAAGUCAUAUUUUGUGAAUCCUAGUCAGGAAGACUUGGGUAUGGGGGCUUGCCCUUGGGAGGCGGAGGCAGAAAGAGAACCGCGUGUUUGAGGCUAGGGUGGGCUACACAGUGAGAUGCUGUCUCAUAAGAAAAAAAAAUAGAAGAGAGGAGGAAUGAUGGGAGAGAGAAGAAAAUAGACAGAGGGAGGGAGGGAGGGAGAGAGAGAGAGGGGGAGAGAGAGUGAGAGAGAGAUCAUAUGAAGACAGAGACCGUGUGAAGACAGAAUUCUUCAUGCUUCCAAACAAAGUUGUUUACUUGAAUUGGAGUGUCAUGGUGAUGCUUCGUGGAGUGUGUCCUCAAGCCACCCCCACUCCCAUCUCAGUGCUUGUCUCCGAGGAGAGCACCCUUUGUUAUACCUCAAGUUCAUUGCUAUCUCCAAGGGGACAGCCAGCUGAGUACACUCCCUCUCCAGAUCAAGAGCCACUGUGUAGGCGGUGGGCAUUCAGACCUCAGGAUGCCUUUGAGCUCCAGAGAAAGCCAACCCCACUGUGCCUGAGAACAAGAGCGGAAGGGGUGGAAGCUCACGAUGCCCCUCCUCCCUGGAGGCUUUCAUUCUGCUGAGGAGCAGAAUGUAGGGAGGCAGCCAGUGUCUGGGAGGAGCCACAGAAAGAAAAAAAAAAAAAACAUCAGGGACAACAGGCUCUUUUUUAAAAUGUCACUCAAUUAUCCAAACGCACUAUGGCAGUUUGUGGCCCACAGUUCUGAGGGAAGUAGAGACGGUGCUGAGUGACAUGAAGAGGGCAAUGAUGGCUAGGCAGAUUGACACAGACACAGGAGGAGGAAAGGCAAUGGUGUUCCCUUCACUACCAUGCCACACAAACCUACGAGGCCAUACCCGAUGUUAUUUAUGUUUUAUCUUCAACUAUGUGUUGGGAUGGUCUGCUCGCCUACACGGGCAUGAGUGGAUGCCUGAGGUUGAUAUUGGUGUGUCUUCCUCAAAUGCUUCUCACACCUUGAUUUUUGAGACAGGGUCCCUCACUGAGCCUGAAGCAACUGGCUGACCAGUGAGCCCCCAGGAUCUCUGUCCCCCUAAGCUGGCAACCUAGGUACUUGCUACUGUGCCUGGAUUUUACGUGGAUUUCAGGGAUCCGGACUCAGGACGCCAGGCUCUCUUGCUAAGCCAUCUUUCUAGCCCUGUAUAUAACUUCUGUUUUAACCUGAGAAAAUGUUAUUCGAAUCCCUGCUAAAACGCUUCACCUUCUACCUCAGAGCUGGAAACCAGGGAGAUCUAGGUAAGUCCCUUUUCUUGUCUUCUGAUGGAAACUUCAGGCUAAGCACACACAGCUAUGUGUCCCCUGCUCGACCUGUUACUUCCAGGGAGCUGCGAUGUGCCUUUCUUCUAACUGCAAGGCCAUGUUUUCUUUGUGUGGGUUUAAUCUUCUCACACUACCAUAAUUCAUUUGCAUAUUGUUCCUGAUACCUCCCUACAUAUCUGGGUUCAUACUCUCUAUAACAC